GGAGGGUCCACAGCUCAACCGCAGAAUAUCUGCUUUGCAUGCAGAAGGUCCCAGGUUCAAUCCCUGGCAUCUCCA